rnacentral:rRNA from 1 species
CUUGCUUCUCUUGAGAGCGGCGGACGGGUGAGUAAUGCCUAGGAAUCUGCCUGGUAGUGGGGGAUAACGUCCGGAAACGGACGCUAAUACCGCAUACGUCCUACGGGAGAAAGCAGGGGACCUUCGGGCCUUGCGCUAUCAGAUGAGCCUAGGUCGGAUUAGCUAGUUGGUGGGGUAAUGGCUCACCAAGGCGACGAUCCGUAACUGGUCUGAGAGGAUGAUCAGUCACACUGGAACUGAGACACGGUCCAGACUCCUACGGGAGGCAGCAGUGGGGAAUAUUGGACAAUGGGCGAAAGCCUGAUCCAGCCAUGCCGCGUGUGUGAAGAAGGUCUUCGGAUUGUAAAGCACUUUAAGUUGGGAGGAAGGGCAGUAAAUUAAUACUUUGCUGUUUUGACGUUACCGACAGAAUAAGCACCGGCUAACUCUGUGCCAGCAGCCGCGGUAAUACAGAGGGUGCAAGCGUUAAUCGGAAUUACUGGGCGUAAAGCGCGCGUAGGUGGUUCGUUAAGUUGGAUGUGAAAUCCCCGGGCUCAACCUGGGAACUGCAUUCAAAACUGACGAGCUAGAGUAUGGUAGAGGGUGGUGGAAUUUCCUGUGUAGCGGUGAAAUGCGUAGAUAUAGGAAGGAACACCAGUGGCGAAGGCGACCACCUGG